UACGGAGGGGGCUAGCGUUGUUCGGAAUUACUGGGCGUAAAGCGCACGUAGGCGGCUUUGCAAGUUAGAGGUGAAAGCCCGGGGCUCAACCCCGGAAUUGCCUUUAAAACUGCAUCGCUAGAAUUGUGGAGAGGUAAGUGGAAUUCCGAGUGUAGAGGUGAAAUUCGUAGAUAUUCGGAAGAACACCAGUGGCGAAGGCGGCGACCUGGGUAGAUACUGACGCUGAGGCGCGAAAGCGUGGGGAGCAAACAGG
rnacentral:rRNA from 1 species